GAUGAAGAACGUAGCGAAAUGCGAUAAGUAAUGUGAAUUGCAGAAUUCAGUGAAUCAUCGAAUCUUUGAACGCACAUUGCGCCCGCCAGUAUUCUGGCGGGCAUGCCUGUUCGAGCGUCAUUACAACCCUCAGGCCCCCGGGCCUGGCGUUGGGGAUCGGCGGAGCCCCCCGUGGGCACACGCCGUCCCCCAAAUGCAGUGGCGGUCCCGCCGCAGCUUCCAUCGCGUAGUAGCUAACACCUCGCGACUGGAGAGCGGCGCGGCCACGCCGUAAAACACCCAACUCUUCUGAAGUUGACCUCGAAUCAGGUAGGAAUACCCGCUGAACUUAAGCAUAUCAAAAGCGGAGA
rnacentral:misc_RNA from 1 species